UACGAAGGGGGCUAGCGUUGCUCGGAAUCACUGGGCGUAAAGGGUGCGUAGGCGGGUCUUUAAGUCAGGGGUGAAAUCCUGGAGCUCAACUCCAGAACUGCCUUUGAUACUGAAGAUCUUGAGUUCGGGAGAGGUGAGUGGAACUGCGAGUGUAGAGGUGAAAUUCGUAGAUAUUCGCAAGAACACCAGGCGAAGGCGGCUCACUGGCCCGAUACUGACGCUGAGGCACGAAAGCGUGGGGAGCAAACAGG
rnacentral:rRNA from 1 species